CGAAGGAUCCAAGCGUUGUCCGGAUUUACUGGGUUUAAAGGGUGCGUAGGCGGAUUAUUAAGUCAGUGGUGAAAGCUUCCCGCUUAACGGGAAAACUGCCAUUGAAACUGAUAGUCUCGAGUAUGGUUGAGGUUACUGGAAUGUUGCAUGUAGCGGUGAAAUGCUUAGAUAUGCAACAGAACACCAAUUGCGAAGGCAGGUAACUAAGCCAUAACUGACGCUGAGGCACGAAAGCGUGGGGAGCAAACAGGAUUAGAUACCCUGGUAGUCCACGCCCUAAACUUUGAAUACUCGGUCUUGGCGAUAUACAGUCAGGGCCCAAGCGAAAGCGUUAAGUAUUCCACCUGGGAAGUACGUUCGCAAGAAUG
rnacentral:rRNA from 1 species